UCCCACAGAGCACAGGGGCCCUUGAGGGGAGGGGGGUGGGCUCCAGCACCGGCGGCCCCCGCCCCCAGAAGUGAGGAGAGGCUCCAGGCCUCUUCAACAGGAUCUAAAGGCUGGCAGUCAGGAAGCAAGGCCGCCCGUGCUCUCUGGGGCGCUGUCCUGGACAGAUCGCUGGAAAGAUGGGGCUGCUGGCAACCAUGGCCUCGGUGGAUGCCAGCUCUCCAGGGCAGAGGCCUGGCAGAGGUGCUCAUUUGUUCUCAGGCGCAUUGAUGCAGACCCCUCAGAAAGGCCUACUGUGUGCUGGCCCAUCAUGCACACUCCGAGUCUUUAAUGCAGGGUUGAAAGGGGCCUCAGUGUCCAAGGCCCAUGGGCUUCAGAGUCCAGAGUCCUGCCUUCCAGACACGCCGCCCAGCUCUGCAGCCUUCACGGAUUCCCUCCCAUGGGGUGAAUACUCCCCGCAGCCAAUGUGAGCCCUGGUCUCAGUGCUGCGAAGAGCACCAGGGCCGCCACACACCACGGCCCAGACCAGCACUCAUCGAGCAGGUAGCUGCAUGCAAGGGGCCUAGGGUCCCCUGGCUUUCCAGCCGAUGGCUGCAGAGGGCCAGCCAGCUGCUGCCCGAGGUCAGACCAGAACGAGGCUACCUGAGACUCAAAUACAGGCCUUCCAUGCCGACGCAGGGCCCCUUAGCCCCUCUCCUUCUCCCUCUCCAUGGGCUCUGCUAAGAUGUCUAUGGCUGAGAGCCGGUCUCAAGCCAGGAAAUCCUGCUGUUCUCCCUCCACAGGUACCCUGAGCUUCCAGAGCAUUCUGGCAGGAGGAGGCAGACCAGGAAGGUUUGGCUUACACUCCUGGGAGCCACUUGGCCAGGCUUUUUCCUUCCAUGUUUAGAAAGAGCAGCAUUUGCAUUUGAAGGGCACCAGUGUGUACACUCCAUUUAAAGGGUAACUUCUGAUUAUUUUCUUAAAUGGUAGAGCAAAUAUUUACAUCUUAUAACUAAAGGGCAGGUUGGAGUAUGUGGGAAUACUGCCUUUGGGCACUGCCCCUGGGCAGCUAAGCAGAAGCUUUGGCUGCCUUGGGCCUUAUGAGGCCAGAAGGAACAGCGGCUCCCCUCUGUGGGCCAUGCUGGGCGGCCAGGCCUCUGUUUGUCUGCGUGUGUGGGGGGAACAGGUGGCCUUCCGGGGCCUUUCUUGUCUGGAACACAAGCUGGGUGGGGCAGGAGCGCGCACUUCCUCCUCUGGAUGCCUUUGCAGUGUCUGGGGGCCCACUGCUGGCUCCCACCCCCACCCCAUCCCCACUUGCACGUGAAGCUGCCAGCCCAGCCACGUGGAGAGCAUGACCAUCGGCUGCCUGCCCAGUGGCUGAUGCAGCCUGUGCCAAUUGUUUAGGUUAUUAAAACAAAACAAAACAAAGGCCAGCUUCUGCCCUGGACCAGAAAGAGGGAAACGGAAGGGAGGCCGAGGGAGGGCCACCCUGCCCGCGGAGAACAGCUCCUGCCAGCUGCAGCCCUGCCAGCCCCACACUGGCCCCCAACGAUCCACGUGGAGCAGAGGCGACCAGUGCAAAGGUCCAGCGCAGCACAGCAGGCCUGCAGCGGGUGAGGAAGCAGCACGCCGACAGACCACCAGCAGUGGCUUUCAGAGGCCGUGUUCACCAGCCCUUGACCUUGUGGGUGACCCAGAGCCCCAUGGCCCCAACCUAGAGGCAUAGGCCACGGGUUCCAGGGCCCCUCCUGAGUGUCCCCACAGCGCAGCAGCGUGGUCUCCACCUUGGGUAGAGGCCAGGACAGAGCCCCCAGGAGUCCCGGAUGUGUGUCACGUGUCUGUGAGCUGCUCUAGCGAGGAUCUGCUGAAAGCAUCCAGGAUGAGCCUGCACCCUGGGGUCACCGUGGCGAAGUACUGCAGAUUGGCAGGUUGGACCACCGCACGUGGCCUCACAGGGGAGGUGAGUCCCAAGUCAAGGUGUAGGCAGGGCUGCAUGCUCCUGAGGCCUGUAGGGGGGAUCUGUUCUGGGCUGUCACCGGCCGUGGUGGCUGUAGCAGCUCUUGGUGCUGUGGACACACCCCUGCAAACUCCCUGGUCCAUCCUGCCUUCCCCCUGUGGGCCUGUCUUCUCUGUCAGUGGAUGCAGGGCCUACCUGGGUCCGGGAGGGUCUGCUGCCCAUCCUUUCCUUGGUCAUAGCUACAAAGCCCUUACCUCACAGAACGUCACUUUCCCAGGUACAUCUCUUUCAGGGGCCACCAUUCGGCCCACUACACCCAGUUAGCAGGCAGAGCAGCCCCAUCUUAAUAUUGAGCUCGUCUAACUGUCCCCAAGAGCAGGUCAGUACACAAGCCAGAGGCUGCCAGCCCGCCAUGCCCACCUCUGCUGGGCAGGGCCAGGUUGAGAACGCGGCCUGCUGCUCCCCCUGCUCGCAGGGGCUCAUGUGGCUGUGGGGUCCAUCCUGGCCCCAUUGAGCACCUCAGACCCUGAGGAAGCUCUCCUCUCCCUGUGACCCCAGCCCCACUGUCCUCACUGGCCCCCCACUUGGGGGAUCCGCCUCAUGAAGGUCCUGCUUACUAAGGGCCAGAAGCUGUCCUGGCGCUUCCUGUCCAGGGGGGCAGGGAUGGCCACCUGGGCAUGGAACCUGACCGUGGAGCCGCCUGGGACAGAGACACACAUCACAAGGCCCUGCUGGACGAGGCCCUGUCCCCACAUCACAAGGCCCUGCUGGACGAGGCCCUGUCCCCACACCCUGUCCUGGGCCUGCAGGGCCAACUGGAAGGUCAUGCAUUCAAGGCUCCAGAAGUGGGAUGUGGACAGCUUUGGGAGCGCUGUACAGCCCACCACACUCGGCCACCGGCCACUCAGCCACACAGUCUCUGCCGACCUGAAGCACGUGCAUCUGGCCUUGCCAAGUGCACAGAACCUCCUUCUGCCCCCUGCUCACCUUGUCCACAGUGCCAGGCCCAGCAGCCCAGGAGGACUGGGUGGCGGGGCUGCGGGCUGCCUUUUGUGACCCCAUGGGCGGAUCCCACGGGACCCAGCAGGCCUGAGGCUGGCAUCCUCCUGCCCUGGUACAUAGGCCUUUGUUCCAGUGUCCAGGCCCCCACCCUGCCCUGCACUGGCCAAGACCAGGCUGAGUCCAGCUCCCGGCCGCACUGUCAUUUAGUCACCCAGGCACUCGGUGCCUGAAUGUCACCAGCAUCCGAGAGACAAUGUUCAGAUCUAAAAGCUCUGGGGUCGGGAGAGCCAAGCCGGAGGCUGGAGACACCCACCUCUGGGGAGCUUUAGUUAUAGAGCACGGGUUGGCGUGGAUGAGAAUACAAUAUGUGAAUGAAUAUUGUUUUAAGAAGACAUACAAGAUUCUCAAGACAUGGUGGCUCUGUCGUGGGUACUUGGGCCUUCCUCCAGGUCUCUGGGGAGUAGCCCAACACUUCCUGGGUGGCAAGUGCGUUCGAGGAGAGUGAGCUGCCCCCAAAUGGCACCUACGGGCCUGCGGGCCAGCAGGUGCCAGGGCGUCACUGUUAGUAUCACUACUGUCACCAAGGAAAGAAAGAGGAAGGCGUGGAGGCAGGUGGGGAGACUUGGCCGCUGGGGCCUCUGGGCAUGAGGGUAAUGGAGCUGCUAUCACUCCAAGGGUCACUUCUGGUAGGAAAUGAAUAAGGACCCACAGGCCCAGGAAGAGGCCAGGAGCCCAGAAAGAAGGAAGCAGAGCCCCACCCCACACCAGGCCCACCUGCGUGGGCUCCACACCAGAAACUUCCAUUUUGUUCACCUGCCCAGUGGGACCAAUUUCCACCCUUCCCUGGGGCUGUGCCUCCUCUGGGGGCCAGUGUUCCCACUCUGAUGAAUCUGGUGUCUCAGAGGCUCUGGAGUGGGGACACUGGCAGGAGCUGGGGGCAGAAACAUGACGACGUCCUGCGUGGGGGAAUGGCACAUCUCCCCCUCCAGGCAGUCUGGGGGCCUGCCCUGGCCUCCCAUCCAGGGAGGCUGAGGACUGGCCCAGGGCCCCUGUGCUGAAGGGUCGCUCUCGGGAAGGCCAUGACUGUUGACAGCAGUGCCAGAGCCCUCAGGGAAACAGAACCAGAGGUGGGGACAGAGGAGAGGGGAAACCAGGGAGCUACUUCUGGAGACACAGACCUGGCUGGACAGGGCGGUGGCGGUGGGGGGAUGGCAGGGGAAGGGAGGAUGGGCGGGGCUGCCAAGAGAGGGGCUUGAGCGGGGGAGAAAGGGCAGCGGCUUUGUACUCCCCACCCAGCACCAUCUGCAGAGGGCAUGCUGUUCCCCACAGCCAGCGUCUGUCUGCCCUCUCUCCCUGAGGACGGCCACCAGAGCUCCCCUGCCCAGCAGAGCCCCCCGGCACACCAGGGCAGCUGGGGCAGGUUCCAGACACUGCCUCGAUGGCCCCUCCAGCCGUAGGCGAAUCCCCAUCAUGCCCAAGCCUGAUUCCCAUGGCUCCCUCGUGCCUGCUCACCGCUCAGCUUCUGGAGCCAGACCCCGGCCUUCUGGCUGAGCCCUCACUCUCCUGUGGCCCCUGGGCCCCUUGGGGCAGGCCACGUCCCUGAGCUCGGCUUGGUGCACCAGGCACAGGCACUGCGGGGACUCUCUGGGAUGUGUGUGCUGUCCAGCACAUGGUGGGACAGGCAUCUCUCCGAGUGGGACAGGACACUUGCUGGGGUUGGGGAUCAAAGAGAGCAUCUUCAGAGGCGUCAACAGGUCUGAGGGGAAUGGCCAGAGCUGCUGAGGCACGCAGGGCCUCUGAGCAGCAGCCGUGAGCCAAGGGGACCAGGCAGGAGAGUGGCUGGUCACCAGAGCAGGGCUGGGGCCUGGAAGGACUGCUGGAGAGACACAGGCUGCCACAAGGAUGCGGUGGGGUGAGGUUGGAGACGGGCAGCCCUCCCAUAUGCUUUCCUCCGUGUGGUGUCCUGUCGCGGCCUCCAGCUGGCUAAGCCCCAGCAGGAAGCUGGCAGGGGAGGGGGCCAGGUGAGGAAAAUCACCCACGUGGUGUUAAUGAUGUCCCCAGUGCUGGAAACGAGGUACUUGGCUAUCUGUUCUCAGCUUUCUGGACCACAGUGUGGGCGGAGCAGAGGAAGGGAGGAAAUUUGUGGGGCAAACAGAAAUAUGUGGUCAUUACCCCAAUAGCAGUGACUAGAUGAUGAUGGUGAUGUGGUAGUGGUGGUGUUGG